rnacentral:rRNA from 1 species
CUCAGUUCGGAUUGGAGUCUGCAACCCGACUCCAUGAAGCUGGAUUCGCUAGUAAUCGCGCAUCAGCCACGGCGCGGUGAAUACGUUCCCGGGCCUUGUACACACCGCCCGUCAAGCCAUGGAAGCCGGGGGUGCCUGAAGUGCGCUGCCGCGAGGAGCGCCCUAGGGUAAAACCGGUGACUGGGGCUAAGUCGUAACAAGGUAUC